UACGGAGGGUGCAAGCGUUAUCCGGAUUCACUGGGUUUAAAGGGAGCGUAGGUGGGCUGGUAAGUCAGUGGUGAAAUCCCCGAGCUUAACUUGGGAACUGCCAUUGAUACUAUCAGUCUUGAAUACUGUGGAGGUUAGCGGAAUAUGUCAUGUAGCGGUGAAAUGCUUAGAUAUGACAUAGAACACCAAUUGCGAAGGCAGCUGGCUACACAAUUAUUGACACUGAGGCUCGAAAAGCGUGGGGGAUCAAACAGG
rnacentral:rRNA from 1 species